rnacentral:rRNA from 1 species
AGAUUGAACGCUGGCGGAAUGCUUUACACAUGCAAGUCGAGCGGCAGCGCGGGGCAACCUGGCGGCGAGCGGCGAACGGGUGAGUAAUGCAUCGGAACAUGUCCAUUCGUGGGGGAUAGCCCGGCGAAAGCCGGAUUAAUACCGCAUACGCCCUGAGGGGGAAAGUGGGGGACCGCAAGGCCUCACGCGAUUGGGUUGCCGAUGUCCGAUUAGCUAGUUGGCGGGGUAAGAGCCCACCAAGGCGAUGAUCGGUAGCUGGUCUGAGAGGAUGAUCAGCCACACUGGGACUGAGACACGGCCCAGACUCCUACGGGAGGCAGCAGUGGGAAUUUUGGACAAUGGGGAAACCCUGAUCCAGCCAUUCCGCGUGAGUGAAGAAGGCCUUCGGGUUGUAAAGACUCUUUUGUCCGGAACGAAACGGUUAGUAGUGAAUAGCGCUGACUACUGACGUACCGGAGAAUAAGCACCGCUAACUACGUGCCAGCAGCCGCGUAA